CUAUUGUUUAGGAAACCGACAAGGAUUCCCCUAGUAACGGCGAGUGAAGAGGGAAGAGCUCAAAUUUGAAAUCUGGCGGUCUACGGCCGUCCGAGUUGUAGUUUAGAGAGGUGUUAUCCGUGGCGGACCGUGUACAAGUCCCUUGGAACGGGGCGUCAUAGAGGGUGAGAAUCCCGUCCAUGACACGGACUACCGUCGCUUUGUGAUGCGCCUUCAAAGAGUCGAGUUGUUUGGGAAUGCAGCUCAAAAUGGGUGGUAAAUUCCAUCUAAAGCUAAAUACAGGCGAGAGACCGAUAGCGAACAAGUACCGUGAGGGAAAGAUGAAAAGCACUUUGGAAAGAGAGUUAAACAGUACGUGAAAUUGUUGAAAGGGAAACGCUUGAAGUCAGUCGCGUCUGCCGGGACUCAGCCUUGCUUCUGCUUGGUGCAUUUCCUGGUGUGACGGGCCAGCAUCAAUUUUGGCUGUCGGAUAAAGGUGGGGGGAAGGUGGCACCUUCGGGUGUGUUAUAGCCCUCUGUUGUAUACGUCGGCUGGGAUUGAGGAUUGCAGCGCGCCCUUGUGGUCGGGGGUUCGCCCCACGCAACGCGCUUAGGAUGCUGGCGUAAUGGCUUUAAACGACCCGUCUUGAAACACGGACCAAGGAGUCUAACAUGCCUGCGAGUGUUUGGGUGUUAAAACCCAGGCGCGCAAUGAAAGUGAAAAGUUGGGACUCUGUCAUAGGAGGCACCGACGCCCGACCCUGAAGUUUUCCGACGGGUUUGAGGUGGAGCAUGUAUGUUGGGACCCGAAAGAUGGUGAACUAUGCCUGAAUAGGGCGAAGCCAGAGGAAACUCUGGUGGAGGCUCGUAGCGAUUCUGACGUGCAAAUCGAUCGUCAAAUUUGGGUAUAGGGGCGAAAGCCUAAUCGAACUCCUGCCCGUGGU
rnacentral:rRNA from 1 species